rnacentral:rRNA from 1 species
UACGUAGGGUGCAAGCGUUGUCCGGAAUUAUUGGGCGUAAAGGGCUCGUAGGCGGUCUGUUGCGUCGGGAGUGAAAACUCAGGGCUUAACCCUGAGCCUGCUUCCGAUACGGGCAGACUAGAGGUAUGCAGGGGAAAACGGAAUUCCUGGUGUAGCGGUGAAAUGCGCAGAUAUCAGGAGGAACACCGAUGGCGAAGGCAGGUCUCUGGGCUGACACUGACGCUCAUGCACGAAAGCGUGGGGAGCAAACAGG